rnacentral:rRNA from 1 species
CCUACGUGAGGCAGCAGUGGGGAAUAUUGCGCAAUGGGCGAAAGCCUGACGCAGCGACGCCGCGUGAGGGAUGAAGGUCUUCGGAUCGUAAACCUCUGUCAGCAGGGAAGAACAGUCACUGUGCUAAUCAGCAGUGAAUUGACGGUACCUGCAAAGGAAGCACCGGCUAACUCCGUGCCAGCAGCCGCGGUAAUACGGAUGGUGCGAGCGUUAAUCGGAAUUACUGGGCGUAAAGCGCUCGUAGGCGGUAUUUCAAGUCAAGGGUGAAAUCCCCGCGCUCAACGUGGGAACUGCCUUUGAAACUGGCAAACUGGAGUGGGUGAGAGGAUAGUGGAAUUCCAGGUGUAGGAGUGAAAUCCGUAGAUAUCUGGAGGAACAUCAGUGGCGAAGGCGACUAUCUGGCACAUAACUGACGCUGAGGAGCGAAAGCGUGGGUAGCAAACAGGAUUAGAUACCCCUGUAGUC